UGGGGAAUUUUGCGCAAUGGACGAAAGUCUGACGCAGCAACGCCGCGUGGAGGAUGAAGGUCUUCGGAUUGUAAACUUCUGUUGAUUGAGAAGAAAUGAUAAAAAAUAAUACUUUUUAUAGCUGACGUUAUCAGUUUAGAAAGCACCGGCUAACUUCGUGCCAGCAGCCGCGGUAAUACGAAGGGUGCAAGCGUUAUUCGGAAUUAUUGGGCGUAAAGGGCGCGUAGGCGGCGCAAUAAGUUUGUUGUUUAAUCUUCCGGCCUAACUGGAAGUAUGCAAUAAAUACUGUUGUGCUAGAGUAUGAUAGAGAGAGAUGGAAUUUUCGGAGUAGCGGUAAAAUGCGUAGAUCUCGAAAGGAACGCCAAUGGCGAAGGCAGUCUCUUGGGUCAUUACUGACGCU
rnacentral:rRNA from 1 species